AUAUAAAAUUUAUUACUUAUAAAAAUUUUUAUUUUUAUGAAAAAAUUAAAAUUAUUACAUAACUAAGUUAAAUUUGUUACAUAACUUAAUUAAAUUUGUUACAUAACUUAAUUAAAUUUGUUACAUAACUUAAUUAAAUUUGUUACAUAACUUAAUUAAAUUUGUUACAUAACUUAAUUAAUUUUAUUAUAUAAAAAAAAUUAAUUUUAUUAUAUAACUAAAAUAUAUUUUUUUCUGGAUAAACCUCUAUCCUUCUUCAAAAAAAAAAAAAAAAAAAAAAAAAAAAAAAAAAAAAAAAAAAAAAGAAAGAAGAUAACCAUGCAACCACAAGUAGAUCAACCGAAAAAAACGGAAACCGAAGAUAAUAAGGCUCUUAGCAUUGUGAGAAGAGAUGAAAGGCUAAUUAGACAGAUACAGUUUGCAUAUAAAAACAGAUAUAUUAUUAGUAUUGAUGGUGUUAGUCGAAGUGGUGUUAUAAAAGGAGCAAAGCACUACUUAGAUUUUUUAAAUUGUAACCGUUUGGUUGAUUAUAGAACUUCUUGUGUUACGUUACAGUUAGAAAUAAAAAUAAAAAGCAUUGACCCAUCCGCAAAAACACAACAAUGUAAAGACACAUAUACGUACUUAAAUGUUAAUCCAAUUGAUAUAAUGGCAAAAGCUCAGAAUAAGUUACACUAUGAAUAUUCAUAUGUACAACAAGAAGAUUUUAGUUUUUUAGAUAAAUUAGGAAUCUUUGAGAGAGCUGAUUAUCAUGUGGAAAAGUCACGUUUAUUGAAAGGUAAGAUUGUUCAAUGUGGACAGUACAGAUAUAGAAUAGUUAAAGAAAUAAGAAAAGCUAUAUAUGGGACUGUAUAUUUAUGUGAAGCGUUGGAUAGUUAUGGAAAUAGUUUUUCACCAAUUCGAAAAGCUAUUAAAGUUAUAUCGAAAGAAGCAGUUGAAAUAUGGAGAUUCAAAUCACCAGAAGAUCCAUUAUCGGAAUAUUUUUUUAGAGAUGGCAUGAGUGGUCAUAGUUUACGUUUUUUACAUGCAAAAAAUUUGGCUUUAAAAGAUUUAUCUUUGGAAAAUGUAUUAUUGUUUGAAAAUGAAGAAAAUGGAUUAGUUUAUCCAGUUAUAAAUGAUCCAGGUCAGGCAACUUAUUUUCAUUUAGAUGGAAAAGGAGAAGUUAAGUUAGAGCCAUAUCAUAAAAUUUUUGGUAAGAUUAAUAGACCACCUGAGAUUAAUCAACAGAUAGCUUUUGAUCCAGUAAAAGUGGAUAUGCAUAAUAUUGGAUAUAUGUUGUAUUAUAGUUUAACAAAACAUUAUUUAUUUACUUAUGCAGCACCAGAUGAUAUAGAAUGGAAUUUACUUUUUAAUAAAAAUUAUGUAGAAUUAUUAAAACGAACAAAUGGAACACAUUUAUCAAAUGAAGUAUUAGAUUUAAUUUUUCAUUUAGUAGAACCGAAUUUUAAAAAAAGGUAUGAUUUACAUAAUGCUUUAAAUCAUAUUUGGUUUAAAGGACUUCUUUCACCUGUACAUAAUUAUAACAUAUAUUUAGGUUCUGAACAUUCUGUCACAUAUUCUGAUGAAAAUAGAGUGAAAUUUUUAUCCGAAGUAGAACUUUAUACUAGAAGUAAUAAUAUUAUUUUUGAAAAAAAUUCGAAUGUUGAAUUUAUGAUUACAGAAAGAUUUUCUUUUACACCUAUUAUGAAUAAAGAUGUG
ensembl:lncRNA